rnacentral:rRNA from 1 species
UACGAAGGGGCUAGCGUUGCUCGGAAUCACUGGGCGUAAAGGGUGCGUAGGCGGGUCUUUAAGUCAGGGGUGAAAUCCUGGAGCUCAACUCCAGAACUGCCUUUGAUACUGAAGUAUACUUGAGUUCGGGAGAGGUGAGUGGAACUGCGAGUGUAGAGGUGAAAUUCGUAGAUAUUCGCAAGAACACCAGUGGCGAAGGCGGCUCACUGGCCCGGUACUGACGCUGAGGUGCGAAAGCGUGGGGAGCAAACAGG